AGGAAGGGUAGACAAUACUCAGGCGCUGAGACUGAGGGCUGCAGGCUUCUUAAAGUCCCUUAAUUGGAGAUGAGGAGCAGGUGUGUCGUCUCACUCAGCCUCAGCGCCGGGGGAGGGGAGGAAGCUCUGGAAAAGAGUACAGCCAGACCAGGCAAACAGGGAAAAACAGGAAGUCCAGCCAAAAUAAAACAGGAUGAGGAGGCGUCUCACCACAGUACCCCCCCCCCUUAACGAACGCCUCUUGGCGUUCUGCCGGGCUUGUUGGGGUGGGCAGCGUAGAACUCUUCCAGGAGUUGGCGGUCCAGGAUGAGGGAGCGGGAGAUCCAGGAACGUUCCUCUGGACCGUAACCCUCCCAGUCCACGAGGUAUUGGAAGCCUCGCCCCCGAGGCCACACGUCCAGGAUUUUCCUUACAGUGAAGGCAGGGUGGUCAUCAAUCAAUCGGGGGGGUGGAGGGGCGACGGAAGGAGGGCUCAGGGUGCACGAGGCAACAGGUUUUAACAAGGAGACAUGGAAUGUGGGAUGAAUUUUGAGAGAUGAGGGAAGUUUUAAUCUCACCGCUGAAGGGUUGAUGAUUUUCUGGAUAGGGAAGGGACCAAUGAAGCGGGGGGACAGCUUGCGGGACUCGGUCUGCAGGGGAAGGUCACGAGACGAUAACCAGACCAUCUGACCAGGACGAUAGUCUGGUGCUGGAGAGCGGUGAACGUCAGCCAGGCGUUUGUUGCGCUCGGCCGUGCGGGUGAGUGCGGCCCUGGCCGAUCUCCACACCUCCCGUUGACGCCCAAUGUGCUCCCUCACCGACGGGACGGCCACAGGUUGCUCCUGUUCGGGAAACAGGGGGGGCUGGUACCCAAAACAGCACAUGAAAGGGGACAUACCUGUGGCUGAAGAGGUGAGGGAGUUAUGGGCGUAUUGGAUCCACGGGAGGUGCGUACUCCAGGACGCUGGAUGAUGGGCCGCCACACACCGCAGGGCCGACUCGAGGUUCUGAUUAGCCCGCUCCGUCUGGCCAUUGGUCUGUGGGUGGUAACCCGAGGAGAGGCUAGCUGCUGCGCCCACUGCCUGGCAGAAAGCUUUCCAGACCUGAGAGGAAAACUGAGGACCACGAUCUGAUAAGAUGUCACGGGGAAUCCCAUGUAAUUGAAAUACAUGAGUGACUAGGAGGUUAGCAGUUUGAAAGGCAGAUGGGAGCUUGGGUAAAGGGACAUAGUGAACAAAUUUGGAGAAUCUGUCAAUGAUGGUGAGUAUGACUGUGUUACCUUCAGAGGGAGGGAGACCAGUGACGAAAUCUAAGGCUAUGUGGGACCAGGGGCGUGAAGGCACAGGCAGAGGACGCAGCAAGCCAGCCGGAGGUUGGUGGGAGGCUUUGCUUCGGGCACAGACGGAGCAGGCAGCAACAAACGCCCGUACGUCCCGGACCAUCCCCGGCCACCAGAACCGCUGCUGGAGGAAUUGGAGGGUGCGUUGAAACCCGGGGUGGCAGGUGAGCUUGGAGGAGUGCCCCCACUGUAGGACCUGAGAACGUGCGACCUCAGGGACGAACCUUCUGUCCGGCGGGCCGGUUCCAGGGUCUGGGUGGUUCCGGAGGGCCUGGUCCACGAUGGUAUCGAUCUCCCAGGUGGCGGAUCCAACGACACAGGAGGCGGGGAGGAUGGUGUCUGGUUCACUGGGGUCCGGGGUAUCCGAGGCGUGGAUCCGAGAGAGGGUGUCUGGUUUGAGGUUGCGGGAGCCGGGACGAUAGGAGAGGGUGAAAUUGAAUCUGCUGAGGAAAAGGGACCAGCGGGCUUGCCUGGGGUUGAGGCGACGAGCGGAGCGGAGGUAUUGCAGGUUCUUGUGGUCUGUCCAGAUUAGAAACGGUUGGGGUGCUCCUUCCAGCCAGUGUCUCCAUUCUUGCAGUGCCCACACGACAGCCAGUAAUUCACGGUUUCCCACGUCAUAAUUUUGUUCCGUGGCUGAGAGUUUCCGGGAGAAAAAGGCGCAAGGAUGAAGCUUCUGGGUCUGAGAGUCCCUCUGUGAGAGGACGGCCCCUACUCCAGAGUCCGAAGCGUCGACCUCCACCACGAACUGAAGCGAGGGAUCUGGGUGUUUGAGCACCAGGGCGGAGAUGAAGAGGGAUUUGAGAUGAUGGAAGGUGGCGUCUGCUUCGGGGGUCCAGGAGAAUGGAACCUUGAGGGAUGUGAGCCGGGUGAGGGGAACUGCCACCUUACUGUAGUUCUUAAUGAACCGUCGAUAGAAAUUAGCGAAGCCGAGGAAUCGCUGGUGGUCUUUGCAGGAGGAGGGAGUGGGCCAGUCACGGACAGCACAGACUUUUUCUGGGUCUGGGCGUAGCUCCCCCUGGGCGAUGAUGUAGCCAAGGAAACUGACGGAGGAGGCGUGGAACUCGCACUUUUCGGGCUUCACGAAAAGGCGGUUUUCGAGGAGGCGCUGAAGGACGAGUCGGACGUGCUGCUGGUGUUCCUCCAGGUUUCGGGAGAAGAUCAGGAUAUCGUCCAAGUAGACAAAGGCGAACUUGGUAAUCAUGUCACGGAGGACAUCAUUAAUGAGGGUCUGGAACACAGCAGGGGCAUUGGUGAGGCCAAAGGGCAUAACCAGGUAUUCAAAGUGGCCCAUGGGUGUGUUAAAGGCAGUCUUCCACUCAUCCCCCUCCCGGAUGCGAACCAGGUGAUAGGCAUUCCGGAGGUCCAGUUUUGAGAAGAUGGUGGCUUGACAGAGAGGUUCGAAGGAGGGAUCAAUGAGUGGCAGGGGAUAUUUGUUUUUAAUGGUGAUGUCAUUUAAUCCACGGAAGUCAAUGCAGGGACGGAGAGAGGAAUCUUUUUUCUUCACGAAGAAGAAGCCAGCAGCAAGGGGAGAAGAUGAGGGUCGGAUGAGUCCAGAGGUCAGGGAGUCUUGAAUGUAUUCCUCCAUGGCCUCUCGUUCGGGCCGAGAGAGGUUGUAUAGUCUACUACUGGGAAGAGGUGCGCCAGGGAGCAGGUCUAUGGCGCAGUCAUAGGGGCGAUGAGGAGGAAGGACAAGAGACUGCUCCUUACUGAACACCAUUGCCAGGUCAUGGUAAACGGGGGGAACCGAGGUGAGAGAUGGCGGUGGAGAUGCUGACCUCUGUCGGUGGAUGUAGGGAUUGGCGGAGCGGAGGCAGUGGGAGUGACAGUGAGGGCUCCAGGCGGAGAUUGAAGAUGUGGACCAGUUAAUCUGAGGGUUGUGGAUUUGCAGCCAAGGGAGUCCCAGUACCAGGGGAGAGUGAGGAGAGGGAAGCAGGAACAGCCGGAUGUCCUCCCGAUGGUUACCGGAGAGGAUGAGGGUGAGGGGAGCAGUGCGGUGUGUAAUGGAGGCUAUUACUCUGCCAUCGAGAGCGGUGACCUUACGGGGAACCGGGAGUUCCUCCAGGGGGAGCUGAAGCCGCGCUGCCAGUCCGGUGUGAAUGAAGUUAUCGUCCGCCCCAGAGUCAAUGAGGGUUUGGAGGGAAGUGGAUUCCUUUCCCCAAAGGAGACAGUCAGGGACUGUGAUACGCCUGGGGGAGCUGGAGGUAGAGGAGGUGUGGCUGAUUUGCAUGGGUUCUCCAGUGGAGGGCGUCGGAGCCAGAGGAGCUGAGGGCUGCAGAGGAGACCUGCUGACUGCAACAGAGGAAGGGGAGUCUAUUCUAGGGACCAGGGAAUGGAUUUCCUUCUCCCUCCGUCUCUCCCUGAGGCGAUUAUCUAUACGAAUAGCUAACGCUAUUAGCUCCUCAAGGGAGGAAGGCUCAUCUCGAGCCGCUAGCUCGUCUUUCAAUUGUUCUGAGAGACCCCGAGUGAAUGCCUCUUUUAACUCGAGUUCCCCCCACCCACUCUCGGCCGCCACUGUACGGAACUCAAUGGAGUAAUCCGCCACUGACCGAGAGCUCUGGGUGAGGGAAAACAACCGUUUGGUGCACUCAGGGCCCUCGACUGGAAAAUCAAAUAUUCUACGGAGCUCUUCUGAAAAACGGGCGUAAGAGGCGAACAGAGGUGAGUCCCUAUCCCAGACGGCCGUAGCCCACUUAGCGGCCCUACCUCUUCACAAAUUGAUGGUGUAGGCGAUCUUAGCUCGAUCUGAGGGGUAACUAAUGGGCUGUUGGUCAAACACUAAGGCGCAUCGGAGUAGGAAACCUCUGCAGCCCCCAAUCUCCCCAGCAUACGGCUCAGGAGGAGGGACAUAGGGCUCUUUGAGGAUAGUGGGUGGUGGAGGAGGCGAAGAGGGGAACGUACUCACGGAGGGGGGAGAUCCUGUUUGCUGCGGUGGAGGCCGAGGGAGUAGUUGCUCAGCCAGCUGUGACAUUUGAACGGAGAGGCCAUGAAACGACUGGUGGAGACUCUGGAGCAUAUCCUCAUGUUGGCCAAGCCGCGUGCCGAGCUUCUGGACGGCUAGCUGAACUCUGUCUAGGUCUGCUGGGUCCAUUUUCCUGGCCUGAGUAUUCUGUUGUGUGGCAGGUUUGUAGUGAGGACCCAGAUGCAGACACCGAGACUGAGAUCAACUUAAAGUGAAUUUUAAUUUCCAAACUCAGGAUUGAAAAGCAAACGAGGAAGUCCGGUAGGCUGGUACACGGGAAGCUGGCUGUCGUGGGGGCUGGAGACACGCUAGGAAGGGUAGACAAUACUCAGGCGCUGAGACUGAGGGCUGCAGGCUUCUUAAAGUCCCUUAAUUGGAGAUGAGGAGCAGGUGUGUCGUCUCACUCAGCCUCAGCGCCGGGGGAGGGGAGGAAGCUCUGGAAAAGAGUACAGCCAGACCAGGCAAACAGGGAAAAACAGGAAGUCCAGCCAAAAUAAAACAGGAUGAGGAGGCGUCUCACCACACUCCCUUUGAUUUGUUCUUGCAAUUGCGGGCUAUAUGAUCCUCCUUUCCACAUGCCCAGCAACCUGUCCCUCUUUGAUUUGCUCCUCCUGGUCUGGGCCUAUCUUGUCCUCUACCUCUGAACCCUCUUCUGCUUGCUUUUGGUUCUUUUUUCCAUUCAUCAACCAUUUGACUCCCUUAUUUUUGUGGUUUCUUUAUAUCACCCUUUGAUCUUAUACUUAUGGAGUCUUGUAGUUUAUUUAAUUGGCUUGUUCUUAGGCUGCCGUCAAAUCCAAAUUUAGUCACCCAUAAUUCGAGAAAAUUGUAACUUUUCUGGCUUUUUCUCAAAGAUUCUCCAAUCUUGACAUCUUAAUUUGUCCAAAUUAGCCUUACUGGCUUCCGUCCCCAUUUUAUGUGUUUUGGUCCAGCUUAGGUGACACCUAGGGUGUCCAAUUAAGCUGGGUUCUUUCAAUGGGGUAGUGAUAAAAAUUCCUUACGUGGUAAUUCUCGCUUCUACUCUUACGAGUGGAGAAUUCUUGCCUUUGCUUCCACAAUAAGGUCACUACUUACAAUCCCACUGUUUUGGUAUGAAUAGGAUAUAUCUAGUGAUAUAUCUCUAUUCCAAUCACUCUCACAGUUUCACAAUCACACUUUUAACACGUGUUUUGUUCUGCAGAAUUUUCUCAAUUAGGCCUUUGUCCACGGUACAACACCGGACCCGCGCGUCUUCUUUCAACGGAUUUGUAGGACCCGCACGUCCUUUAAUUUAAACUUUUCCAAUUAGGAAUCUACCGUUUUAUAUUUUUUCUUCAGCGGAUUUGUAGGACCCGUUUGUCCUUAUUCAGCAGAUUUGUAGGACCCGUUCGUCCUUUUCAACGGAUUUGUAGGACCUGCCUGUCCUUUUUUUUUUGUUGUUUGGUCUUUUAUAGAUUCUCUACACGGAGCGAAUCUCAAUCAUUCCACGUUCCUUUUUAUAAAAGACCAACUCACCACUUGUCUUUCCCCUUGGCUUCGGAUUUCCGUCAACCGUCGGAUCCCAGCAGGCGGAUCGAGUCCAGUUCCUCAAAGAGAGGCUGCCGUGGCCACGGUCUUAUCUGUCAUCCACCUCACCUGCUGGAAUCGUCAGGUCUAUUGGAAUCCGGCUCGAAGGACCAAAGAAAUGUUGGGUCUAAAACCUGCCCAAAUACCUGAAAACACAAAAAAGGAGAAAGACAAUGGAAUAUACUCGAGGAGAAUGGACAGAGAUCUUUUUUUUAGCUAUCUCAAUACCACUCUAAGGGUACUUUCUCUG